rnacentral:rRNA from 1 species
UACGAAGGGGGCUAGCGUUGCUCGGAAUCACUGGGCGUAAAGCGCACGUAGGCGGAUUGCUAAGUCAGGGGUGAAAUCCUGGAGCUCAACUCCAGAACUGCCCUUGAUACUGGCGGUCUCGAGUCCGGGAGAGGUGAGUGGAACUGCGAGUGUAGAGGUGAAAUUCGUAGAUAUUCGCAAGAACACCUGUGGCGAAGGCGGCUCACUGGCCCGGUACUGACGCUGAGGUGCGAAAGCGUGGGGAGCAAACAGG